rnacentral:lncRNA from 1 species
UAAGUUGUUGGACAUAGCAAGAGUUUCUACAAUACUCAUGAGUGCUCAUAAGUUCCGAGUAUUGGAUUCAACCCACACUCACUUGUAUCACUUCAUGUAAUUUAUCUCGAGUGAUCGUGAGACGAUAAUAUCAUAUAAGUCUUCAAACCUAGAGAUAUUAGUUGUUGACUAUGAGUUGGUUAUACAUUGAUUGCAAGAAAACACAUUGGUAAGUCGAUGUUAGAAAACAUGCCUUCGUGUAUAAUUCAACAAGUAGUAGAACAAGCAUAUGAGUCAAAGUUUAUCUGUUCCUUCUUGGAUUAGAAGCGAUAUCUGGGCCCCUCGAUGAUUUUGUUUUAACCUAUGUACCGGGCCCAGUCAGAACUAAAUUGAUGUGUUCGAUUAAGUUUUAUGUCAAAGAAAUCAGAAAUCGGGAAACAAACUGUUGGACAAUAAGUAAGACAUUGUUCCAUGUAUUUGUCCGACUGAUAUCUAGAACAGAGGAUUAUAUGAUCACUUAUCUUAAAUGGCGUAUCAUCAUCAUCUCUGUUCCACGAGACCUUGAAAGAGCUAUGAUUGUUGAUUGUUUCCUAAAGUCAUUCUUGCAGUUAUAGUUAUUAGACUUAUCCAAGUGGGAGACUGUUGGAUAAGGUGUCUAAGCUCAUAACUAUUUCUGCAAUGUACUUGACCCAGUUGGCAUGGUCCGUUUGGGUUGCAUGGCAUUGCAACACUUGGAUAGACUAAAUGAGAGAAAGGACACUUAAGGAUUAUUAAUAUAUUAAAAGUACUAAUAUAUUAAUAAUAUUAUUUAUUUAGUAUUGAUCAAAGAAUUAAUUUGGAAUUAAUUAAGUGAUCAAAAAGAGACUAAUAAAUAUAUGGGGUUGAUUGUGUAAAUCAUCUAUUCUUGUAUAGUGGGCUAACGAUCCAUGGUUUGUGAAGAUUGGGCUAAAACCCAUGAGGUGCUCCAUGGAUAGUCCUUGGAGGUUACAAACCCAUGGAUCAUGGAAUAUGGAAAGCCAUGUCAAUUAGGGUUUACAUGGUAUAACCCUACUUGUGACACAACUAUAUAAAGACCCAAUGACUAGCAAAUUCGACCACUACAAGAAAUUACAAGAGGGCUAGCCGAAUUUAUAGUGUUAGUAAACCUCUCUCAAGGUUAUUCCAAGUGUUGUGGUGUUGUGUGAGACAUUUGAGGCAUCACACUUGAGGUGCUAGGCUCACAAGGCUCUUAAGGAAUCCGAGCAACUAAAAGGUAUGUUCUUCUACUAGCAUUUAUGUUUUAAAGUUCCCCAUGCCAUGCUAGUUAGGUUAAAAACCUUGGAAAAUCAAAUUUUCAUGUAUCUUAGUAAAACAUAGAUCCAGGGUUUCUAAGGUGGCACGUAUAUAUUAGGAGUGUUAGAAUGCUCAAAACUCUUCACAUUUAAGUUCCAAGAUUAAGUCAACUAGUUAUGAAAACUUUCACCUAAGUUUAAAUUCUAGUCACUCGUCUAUAUUUAUCGUUUUUUAUCUUAAAUAUGCUUUCAGAAGAUAAAUAGUCAACAAGAUUGUUAGUUAAACUAAUUGAGAAAACCCCCUACUCCAACAAGAUUCUUAAUUGAUGAUUUUUUUCCCAAAAACAAGGUGUUACAUACCACUAUAGGUGAUGGUGAUUGCGAUGAUUUCUUCCAGUGAUGGUCAUGGUGAAUGGUGGUCAUAUUCUUCAAGAAAACAAGCGUAGAACCUUUUUAUUUCAGUUUGGAAUAUGUUUUUAAAGGUAUUUCUUUAAACCCUAAGUUUCUUAUACUUGGAAAUAUGAAAAAUAAUUGUAAUAUAUUUUAUGCAUAUGGGAACCGGGAGUAGAUAUUAUGUGACGAACUUGAAAGUGAUAACACAUGAUAAAGUACAUAUGCUUGACUUUGGAUUGUGGAAAAAAUUAGUUGGGGAAAAAUUAGUUUGUUUACACUAAAAAGGGAUAAUGAAUUCUAAUUUGUAUGAAGAAGAUACUUUGAUAUUACUUCUUGGUAUAAUUUAUAAGCAAAGAAUAAUUAAAAUAGGUAAAUAUUCAAAUAAGAUGUUAUUCUUAAAAAUGCAAUAACACUUGACACGUAUUUGCAUGAAAUUGAACUUAAAGACUUAAAAAGGUUUGAGAUGUAAAAGGCAAGUAAAAGAAUCACUUGAAAGCUUUGUAAAUAAAGUGUCGUUUUAGGUAUGUAGUGAAUGUGACGUCCCAAAAAUAAGGAGUUAAAGAUUUCAUUUUAAAAUAAGUCAAAACCAUUCAUUCAUUGUUCUUAAAGACGAUCUGUAACAUACAUAAAAUAUGGUCCCAAAAAUUUAAUUUUUUAAUUAUUAAAUGAAACCAUAGUUAUCAAAAUAUCCGUAAAAAACAUAAAUCAAAGUAUGCAAAACAUCACAAUAAGAGUAUCCACAUAAAAACAUCAGAGUAAACAUUCGAGGCUAAAACAUCAUGGUGUGUGCAAUGCAGUCAUCCCGAGCUCUUCCCUUUGCUACCAUAAGUACCUGAAACCAAAACUGAAAACCAUAAACACGGAGCUUAGUGAGUUUCCCGAAACUACCACAUACCAUACACAUUAUCACAUAAUCAGAUAUAGACAUAUCGUGGGCCCCACCCCUUUUUCGAGCCCUGCCUAGCAUCCGACAGUGUCUAGCAUCGGGCCCCGCCCGACAUCGAGCAAAGCUUGGUAUAUAUAUAAACAUAUCAACAAAUAAACAUAGAAUAAUCACAUAACAUAAGCAUAUAAACAUUCUGCAGGCCCCGCCCAACAUCGGACCGUAAUCCGGGAUGCAUACAAACAUUCCUCGGGCAUCGCCCAAGAUCGGAAAAUAAUUCGGAAACAUACAAUACAGACACAUGAAAGAAUCACGAAGACAUCAAGCAUACAAACAUUCAUCGGGCACCGCCCAACACCAGAUCGUAAUAUGGAAAACAUAAUCAUACAUCGAGUACUACCCGACAUCGGAAUUUAGUUCGGAAUACAUAAAAUCAUACAUACGAGCCGACAUUGGUGCCUUUGACUCGUUCAAAAAGGAAGAAAACACACAUAUAAUGUCGAAUGAGCAUUGAAACGUCUCUGCCCUGUAAUAAACUCUACUCACUCCGUGAACCAAAACAACCCCUUAGAUACCAUUUCAUACUCAUAACCCUUUACGGUCAACUAUGGUUAAAGUUAAAUUCAAUGUCAACGCUCCGAGUUGACGCAACUCGUCGAGUUAUCCUUUAACUCGCCGAGUACCCAUAAAUCCCAGAAUUGUGCCUUUUCAAAUCAACUCGUCGAGUUCUUCAUUUUUAACAAAAUCAGGACACUUCGAAUCAACUCGUCGAGUUCUUCAGUCUCCGGAUCUGGACUGGAAAUGCCUCUAGAAGGGUAAAGUUUCCAACUUUACCCGUUAAUACCUAUGCUAAAUAGAUUAACCUCAAACCCUAACCCUAACCCAAAAAGGACAAAGUCUUAAUAAAAAAAUCACCAAAAAUAGAAGAUAGACCAUGAGGUCAUAGAUUUGGACCACAGAAACUAAUUGAUCACCUAAAGUUCUAGCUUUCUCUACAUGCAUGGUCAAAGAAGCUCCAAAAGGCCAAAAUGAUGGUCUAAAGGUUGCAUGGGACUUCCGUGGCCAUAAAUUUGGCACCUUUAUGCCAUGAAAACCUAUCAAAAUGCUAGAUCUGAAGUGAUAGCCCAUUUGGGACGUCCAACUCUCAAGGACCAUUAAAUUUGGACAAAACCAAGCAAAAUAACCCUAAAAGAAGAUGUAAACAACUAUAAGGCAAUGUUCAAUCUUUAUACCAGAAAAGUGUCGUGGAUGAGGCAAGCAUUCUGGAUCUAUAAGCUCCUUCUUGUGCCUUAAAGCUUUUCCUUCUUUCAAUGGCUUAAACACAUACCCAAAACACCCAAAAUUGCUCACAAUCACUCAAAGUAGCUUUAGGGUUUUGAGAUUUAGGGUUAGGACAGUGAAGGUUGGAAAUGAGGCCAAUACCUUGGGGUUAAUGUAUUUAAAUAGAGUGCAAAACCCUGGAAUUAGGGUUUCACUCUAACCAGCCAACUCGUCGAGUUGAGACCUCCCAACUCAUCGAGUUGGUCACCAAAACACACGGUCCAAAACAUCUCUACUCGAUGAGUUUAGGGCCUCCAACUCAUCGAGUUGCUAUAUUAAAAUGAAUAAUUAUAAGUUAGAUACAUACUAGGAACCAGGCGUUACACGAUCAGAGUCAAAGUAUUCACAAAACCUCAAAGUAAAAUCAUAAAUAGUCAAUGCAUAACAAAUCUCCAGGGGAUGUAGUGCGAUCAAACCAAACCAUUCCUUUCGAAACCAGAAGUACCUGAAAACAUUUUAAACCAUGAACCAUAAGCACAAAGCUUUGUGAGUUCUCCAAAAUAUCACAUACCAUCCAAAUAGGCCCAACCCACCAUACAAUGGGUCUGAGCCAACAAAAAUAUUGUUGGGAUAAUUAUGCUGCGUCUUUGGGCCUUUUGUUUAAAUAUAUCUUGUAAAUAAGUUGGGCUUGUCCUCCCGUAUUUCAUUCUAGGGUUUGAGUAUUUAAGAUGCAUUCAUGCAGCAUAUUUUAUUUAACUCUGAUAUUAUCUUGUAACCGUAAUCGCGCCUCUACAAUAGCAAUUCUUGGUCGAGUUCUUCUGAGGCGUGACUUUUAAUCAUUUAACAUAUUUUGAAUCAUCGUUGUGUUCUUUGCUUUAAUCUGUUUGAAUCUAAAUGAUCUUUUCAAGGAUUUUCAUCCUAACAAUUGGUAUUAGAGCAGGAGUCCGUGUAAUCUAUAUGCAUCUAUUUUGUUUACAGAGUUAUUAGGGUUUCCAUUAAUAUAGGAUCUUGUUCAAUCGUCUUCAUAGUGCUUUUGGUGGCACGCAGUGAUCUGAAUAUUACCCUAUAAACUAUCUUAGUUUACACAUCUGAUUCUUAACAGGUUUCAAAGUCAUAUCAUCAUGCAGCACGACGAUUCUCACAUCAACUCUAUAAAUCUUUCGAUCAACAUUAGAUCCACAAAGAGGAUCCUCAUUCUCUUUCCCAGUGAAUAUGAAGUUUGGGCACUUCACUUUGAAGGUUACAUUCUUGGUUUGGAGGUCAAUGGCUAUCUCAUAUGGGAAACUAUCACACUGGGAGCUUUCGUUCACACUGGAACUAGAAGAGUCAUUAAACUCAAAAGGAAUAUAAGCAACUGCUCCUUGGUGUAAAGGAUGUUCCUCAAGAUGAGAAAGAAAAGCUAACCAGCAACAUUAAAGCAAUGAGGAUCAUUAGAUUCACUUUCCCACUUAUACCUUUCAUCUAGUUAGCUCAUGUGAUACCGCUAAAUCCAUUUGGGAUAGUCUCAAGGAACACUACUCUACUGAUGUAGAUCUUGAGCACUCCUCUCAAACACUCUUUCUUUCAUAGUUUGGUGCUUUCGGACAAAAUCUUGAAGAAAGUUUGAGUUUAACCUUCAAUCGCUACAAUCAUAUUCUGAGUAAGAUGAUGAAAAUGGUAAUGGGAGAAGUAAUCGAACAGAAAGUUAUGUUCAUGAGCGGGCAUAGAUCUAAGUGAAUGUCAGUGGUUUCUACUGUCAAGGCAGAUGAGCAAUUUAAAAGCUAUACCUUAGCCAAGCUUGUUGGGAUUUUGAAGGCACACGAAAGUGAGGUGACAAAAGAAGCAAAAGUUGUUUCUGGAAUAGGAUCUUUGGCUCUCGAUGCGAAAGGCAAGACAGUUGCAAAAGAUGGGUCUAAGUCUGAUCAAUCUGAAUACGAACUUACGAACGAGAAGUAUGCAUUAAUGGUUUCAAAACCUAAGCGGUUCGCAAAGAAAAGUUUCCCCUUAAACAAGAAACGAAACUGGCAGGGCAGCUACAGCUCUGAAAAGGUGAAAGAAGAGAAUAAAAAUGUUUCACAAAUGGAUGAAGACAAAAAGGAGAAGAAGCUCAUGGGUGACUCCGGCAAUGACUGCAGCUAUCAUCAUGGAAAAAAUCAUUUGGCUAAGGAAUACAUGACGAGAAGGUUAAAUGAGAAGAAGGAAGGAGAAGAUGAUGAGGCUUACUACAUGCGAAAGCUAAAGAAGAUCAAGAAGAGAAAGAAUGCUGAUAACUCUAUGCCUGCUUUAAUUGUGCAGGAAAAUGCAGCUGAAAACAAGUUUGGAGGAGUCGUUGUCUGGUCAACAAACUUUGAAGAUGACGAGGUUCGUAGGCCCACACACGGCAGGGCAUUCAUUGCAAAAGAAGAGAGUUCACAGUUUGGAGGAAGAUGCUUGAUGUGACAAAUAAAAGGUCACAGAGCCAGGGGAAUACCACUGAGGGUGAAAGAGGAGAUGAUAGUUGUUUCGUAGCAAGACCAGUCACUGAACAAAUUAAUGAGUGCGAACAGCUGAUCAACAAGGUAAAUCUAAUUCUUGAAUCUCUCAAUAUACCUGUGUAUAGAUACGAGACUGAAUUAAAUGACCUAAAAUUCACCUUUUCAAGCAUUAGUGAUUGUUUAAAAAGAACUCGUUGGACAAACUCUAACCUAACUAAUCAAAUUAGCAGGGUUCGUUAAAAAGCGAUGAGAGGUGAUUGUGGAUAGAGAAGAUCGAGUCAGAUAUGUCUAAGUGUAACAGCCCGGAAUUUCAGGUAUUUAUUUAAAUUAUUUUUGGGUAUAUUUAAAGGGGGACUCGGCGAGUAGGUGCAUGACUCGCCGAGUAGGGCCAUAGUCUGGGUCGCAGUCGCAGAUACGCGACUGGACUCGACGAGUCCAAACAAGGACUCGGCGAGUCGACGCUGUUUCAGCUAAACCCUAGCCGUUUCAUUUCUGAUCGUAUAUAACGAUCUUAUGGCCGUCAUGUCACGUCUUUUGGCCGGUUGAAGACAUCUUGGGAGCGUGUGAGCGUUUGAGGCAAGAGAGAAGACUUGAGGAGGCUUGAAGAAGUUGCUAGACAAGGAGAAGCAAGUUAGUGAUCAAAGGAAUUGAGUGUUGGAGGCUUGGGGACACAGGGAACACGUUCCAGGUAUUAUUCGGAUCGAAAAUCUGUAGUUUUUACGUUGAAUGCGUGAUUAGGGUUAGGAAACCCAUUUAAGGGUUUGAUAUAUUAUGUUGUUGUGUAAGUGUUUUAAAAACCCUGUAAUAGUAUAUAUGAAAGCCCAGGAAGUCCCAUAUCUAUAUGCCGCGUAAUCAUGUGAAGUACAGGAGGCAGUGGAUUGACUGCAUGGCGAGGACUCGCCGAGUCCAAUGAUCAGACUCGGCGAGUAGCUUGAAGAUGUACUAGAACUCGCCGAGUUGUUCUUCAGACUCGGCGAGUAUCUUGAAGGUUCACUAGGACUCGCCGAGUUGUUCUUCAGACUCGGCGAGUAGCUUGAAGAUCUACUAGAACUCGUCGAGUCGUUCUCCAGACUCGGCGAGUGGUGGCAGGGUGUCUAUACUCGCCGAGUCACCCUUUGCACUCGACGAGUCUGGUCAAGAUUGACCGUUGACCUGUAUAUCUCUUAGAGGGGUCAGUUGUCUUGUUUGAUAAGAUCAUUAACUAGGGCUGUGGUAUUAUAGGGAACCUGCGGACUAGCGGAUCGUGUGCGAGUAGCUCGAGGAGGUUAUAGCCUGCGUACUACGAGGUGAGUUUUCUCACUAUACUUCACCCGGAAGGGUUUGACUGUUAGACCGGAAGGUCGUGUAUGUUAUAUUCAUGCUAUGUCUAGAGAGAUAGAUGCUUUAUAUGAGAUGUGUGCUUAUAUGUGGUGUAUGAACAUACGGGCCGGAAGGCGAGACUUUAUGUGUUAGCAAGAACGGUAUGAUAUAUGUGCUUUAUGUGUUAGAGUAUUUGUGUUAUGUGUGAUAUAUGUGUAUGGGCCGGAAGGCAAUUAUCUUGUGGAUCGAAAGAUCCGGGCCGGAAGGCAAUGUUAUGUGGACCGGAAGGUCCGGGCCGGAAGGCAAUAUUAUGUGGGCUGAAAUGUCCGGGCCGGAAGGCGUAUGUGGGUAAGUCGUAUACUGGGGAACUCACUAAGCAUUUAUGCUUACCAGUUGUGUUUAUGUUUUUCAGGUACUAGUGAUGAUCGUGGGAAGGCGCCGGCGUGACACGUACACACUGCCACUGUUGGAGAUCCUGGAGAUUUAUUAUUUUUAUUUUGAAAUAAACUUGGAAUAAACCCUUUUAUUGAAUAAUGAUGUUUUAUUUUAACGAAAAAUUUAUUUGAAAAUUUGAGCUGUUACACUAAGUCUAGGAAUCAAUUGAUUUACUUGCAAUGAUACAAUUUAAUGCUUUUAAAACAACGUAAAAAAAUUUCUUUUAUUGCUAAAGGGCUUUAUUUGAACAUUACUCAAUUUCACCUUUAUUGUAAAAUUUGUAAGAAAAUUCACAAGAUGAUUUUACCAUUUCAUGAAUUAAAGGAAGACGAAAUUGAUGCCGAUUGUUAUAAGUGCGAAUCCAUCAUCUUGUCUGACGAGACUUCUGAUGCUUACAUGGUAGGACUGGAAAGAAUGGAAUCAUACAUUAAGUCCAAAGACCACAAAAAUAUGUUAAAACAUCUUUUGGAUAAAAAUGAUAAGAAGCAAAUAAAAUCUGAUACUAUGCAGAAGUUCGAUUCAUUGAGUACCAAAUUAAGUUCAGAAAACAAAAUUAACGUUGAAUGUACAUCCGAGUUUGAUGAGGACAGUGAUAUGAGCGAAAUAUUUGUAGAAGAUGAGGUUGAUUGGUUAGAAUUUGUUAAGAAUGAAGCUGAACCUGUGAAAGCCUUAAUUUCUGACAAUUUUGUUGAAUUCGCACGUAUUUCUCAAAAUAAACCUGAAAUUUUAAAAGAGAAAGCAAUAGUUUUUCCUAUGGGCCAAACCAUUCCAAAUCAAGUCUUUGCAACCAAAGGACUAGACUUAAAUCAAACAGCAGAGUUAACGUCCAUCUUCGAUAAUGACAACAAAGAUGGUUGUGAUGAGUACUUUUGGUCAGCACCAAUAGACAAUGCAGACAAAACAAAGGGUCUAUCAGAAAAGACCUCUUGGAAAGUGGAAGGAAGAUAUGUGGCAGAACCACUAAACAAUCCUUCAAGCUUUGAAAAAGGAAGUCCAAGUGGAACCAAGGAUGUUCAAAGCGAACCUCGGUCAGUGAAGGACGAAUCUCAUGGAAAAAAGACGAAACUCAAGACAAACAUUCAUAAGUUCCCAAAGCAACUUGCAGCUCAAAAACGGCAAAGUAAUGCGAGAUAUCAAAGAAAUCUCAAUGAAAGGAAGCAAUUUGGCAAUCCCAAAAUCCCAACUAUGUUCGCAAUGAAAAAUCUUCCAAUCAAAAUGCGAAAGCUCCUUCACAUGCAAACCUCGAACAAUGUUUGCACUGUCACUCUUGCAAUCCCCAAGAAUCCAAAAAGCAUGUUGUUCAAAAACCUUCAUUUUCAAAGAAACAUAUGGGGAAACCAAAACCUUAUCAUUCUCAACCCUUGAAAUCUUCAUCCAAAGAUGUUAAAGGAAAAGGAAAGUUAGUUUUCGGAUCCUGAUGCUUGAUCCAACUAAUCAACUUUCAACUCAAAGAAAGUUGAGAAAGGGUUCAUAAAGAAUCAAAACCAAAAUAAACAAAAACAAUCUUUUCCAAAAGCAACGAACGUGAAAGAUAAAAUAAAAGUUUUCACCAUAACAAAAAAGAUAAAACCACAUCAGUUAAACGUACUUAUAUGGUUUAUAUUGCAAUUACUUUUCCCCAUUAAGUAAAUGGCUCACAAGGACCCAAAAAACUUUGGGUUCCUAACUCUGCUUGAUUCUUUGUAGUAAUACGUGACGAGCAAUUUGACUCUGAAUGGUACAUCGACAUUGGUUGCUCGCGUCACAUGACCGGAAAGAAGGAGGAAUUAAGAGAAUUUCAAGCUCGCAAAGAUGGUAGAAAUAGGAAAUAUGGAAACAAUUCUUUUGGAAGGAUUAAAGGUUAUGGGAUGAUAACAAAUGGAGAUUUUUUAAUUUGUAGCAUAUGUAGAAGGAUUGCAACACAACCUCAUAAGUGUUUCGAAGUUGGUUAUGGGGACGGGCUUAAAAGUCUCAUUUGAUGACGAAGGGUAUGAGAUCAUAAAAAAGAAGACGAAAGUAGUUCUUCUAAAGUCGAAGCGCAGAGGCGAAAUGCAUCCUUUAAAUAUGAAUCUGAUAUGAGGGAAGCCCGCCAUUUGGUCGCUUACAAAAGCUCAAUCAGACGAUAGCUGGUUGUGGAAUAGAAGACUCUCGCACCUUAACUUCAAAGACAUCAACAAGCUUGUUCUUAGUGAUCAUUUGCGAGGGCUUCGUCUUUUAAAAUUCGACAAGGAUAAUUUAUGUGCAGCUUGUGAAAUGGGGAAGUAGAGUAGAAAAAUUCAUCCAACGAUAGUAAACACGAAGGUCAUCGAACCUCUAGAACUUUUACAUAUAGACCUUUGUGGACCUUCUGCAAUUGAAAGUGUCGGUGGUAGUAAGUAUAUUCUUGUAAUAGUUGAUGAUUUUUCACGUUUCACUUGGGUGUAUUUUCUUAAAAUGAAAUCUGAAUUUUUACCAAAAAUCAAGGAUUUCAUAAAGCAAAUUGAGCUUCAAUUGCGAAAGCUAGUUCGUAAUGUUCGCAGCGACAAUGGGCUGGAAUUCAAAAACCAAGCUUUUGAAGAAUUUCUUGCUGAAAAGGGAGUCUCACAUAACUUUUUUGCAUCCUAUACUCCACAAUAGAACAAUGUAGUUGAAAGACAAAAUUGCUCCUUAUGCGAAGCUGCAAGAACCAUGCUGUCAUUCGCAUGUCUACCUCUUUAUUUUUGGGCGGAUGCUAUCACGACUGCUCACGUUAACCAAAACAGAUCCAUCCUAAAUAAGCGAUUUUCUAUCACUCCUUAUAAAAUACUCAAUAAUCGUAAACCUAACUUUAAGUUUUUCCAUGUAUUUGGUUCCAAGUGUUUCAUCUUCAACUCUAAGGAACAGCGAAACAAAUUUGAUGCGAAAGAUGAUGAGGGUAUAUUUUUGGGAUAUUUGCAGAUCUCCAAGGCAUAUAGGGUUCUCAACAAAUGAUCCAAAAAGAUAGAAGAAACCUACUAUGUCACGUCUGACGAAAACUAUUUGAAGAGGGUGCAUUUGUAUGAAAGUCAAUCGAAGGAAAUCUUUCCUAAGCCAAGUUCAGCCAUGAUUCCUCUAGCCGAUAUGUAUGAGGAAUUCUCGGUACUGUUUGAUGAGCUAGUGAAGGCCAUUUCAUGUGAAUCAAGAGCACCUGAAAAAAAAGAGGAUGAAUUAAAGAAAAUAAUUGACAAUGCUAUGAAGGAUUUGCCACAACAACCACCAUGUGUGAACAUCCCUCAAGACACGAACACUACAUUCCAUGGAGAGAAUUCUGACUCCGAUGCAACUCUUCAGGGGGAGCCAUCUACACCACAAGAUACAAACAUUCCAUUGCAUGGGGUUUACUUUGUCUUUCUCUUCUGAACCACCCUAUGAUAAAGACAUAUUACCUCCUACAAUGACUCACGAACCUCCAUUCAUAUGAGAUACUUCAAUUCCUGAAGAAGAGGACCUCUCGUCAUUCAAGGGGGAGAAUAAAGAUACAAAUGAUGACUCGGACGUUUAAUCAGAAUUCAAAGAAGUAAAUGCUGAAUUGGAUCCGUCUUAUGAUUGGCGAAUCUUCUGUAGGAGUCCAAACCAUCAUCCACUAACCAAAUGAACCAGAGAUCACCCAAGAAUCCAAGUAAUUGGCGAAUCUUCUGUAGGAGUCCUUACGAGAUCUCACCAAAAAGCAAAACAAACUACAUUAUUCUCUAAAGUGGAAUUUUGUAUGUUUAACUCAUUGGUUUCCAAGGUUAAACCGAAAACUAUUAAUGUUGCUCUCGAUCAUUCUAAUUGGGCCAAGCGAUGCAAGACGAACUCAAUGAGUUUGAACGAAACAAAGUUUCGAGGCUGAUUCCCACUCCACGAAGCGCAUGAGUGGUAGGUUUAAAAUGGGUGCUUGCAACAAAAUGGAUAAAUAAGUAAUGAGAAACAAAGCGAGACUCAUGGUUAAGGGAUAUUGCUAGGAAAAAGGCAUCGACUAUGAAGAAAUCUUCGUGCCUGUUGCAAGGUUGGAAUCUGUUCGCAUCUUCUUGGCAUAUGCAGCACACAGAAACUUCGAGCUGUUUCAAACGGGCAUUAAAUGUGCAUUCUUGAACGGGGAACUAGAAGAGACUGUGUAUGUGGAACAACCACCUGUAUUUGUAGACGAGAAGUAUCCUAAUCAUUGCUACAUCCUUGACAAAGCGGUUUAUGGUCUAAAGCAAGCUUCAAGAGCCUGACACGAAACUCUUACCCGUUUCUUAAAAAUGUCCAAAUUUAAACAAGGUUCGAUUGACCCACCCUUCUUUCGCAAGAAAGAGGGUGACCAUUUAAUGAUUGUCUAAAUUUUUGUUGAUGACAUCAUUCUCGGUUCUACUAAUCCCAGCCUAAUAACUGAAUUCCGAAAGUUGAUGGAAACUAAAUUUGAGAUGAGCUGCAUGGGUCCAAUUCAGUUUUUCCUUGGAUUAAAUAUAAGACAGGGUCAAGAAGGCAUUUUUAUUAACCAUGAAGCUUAUACGAAGACCUUGCUCACUAAGUUUGGAAUGUUGGGAGACUCAAAAGCAAAGGUUCCAAGGGCAUUCGGAACGAAACUAGCAUCAUCUCUAGAAUAACCAGCAGCUGAUAUGACUGUUUAUCGUUAGAUGAUAGGAUCAUUGAUGUAUCCAAUAGCUAGUAGACUAGAUAUCAUGUUUUCCGUUUGUUUUUGUCCUAGGUUCCAAGAGAAUCCUCGAGAACUGUCACAACUAGAAAUUUUGGUGCCCUGUAACUACAAAACCUAUAACAACUAUGAAUCAAUAACAUGAAAGCAUGCAUGAUGCUUAUUCUAAAACAACAAAACUUCAUCAAUUACUUCAUCCUGACAUUGCAAAUGGUCAACAAAUAAUUGGAAACCUUUGAAAUCCCGGUUUAAGUCCAUUUUGGACUAGGAUUUCCUUAUUGGGCCUAAUGGACUAAUAAACUUCCAAUUUAUCCAUCUUGAAUCUAGAACACUCUAAUUGGCUCUAAUUGGACCCAUAUAAAUGAAACAUAAUAUUUUGGGCCUUAAUGGGUCACAACCAACUAAAUUUAGCCCUAAUGAGUCAUAAAAGUUAUACUUUGAUUUAUUUGGGCCAAACAUCAUCAAAAGUGAGUCAUAAUAUGAGCUAAGCACUCAAGGCCCAAUUCAUUCUCUUUUCCCCCUCCAUUCUCGGCCCAACCCACAAAAGAAAGGAAGAGUUGACUUUUCCUAUGCCACCUCACGCUUAUCCAUAGGUUCUCCAUGCAUUCUCCUAUAUUUCAAUGCAACUAUCCCAUCCAAGAUCUCUCUCUUCCUCUCUCUUUCUUCUCUCGUCCGAACACACCACAAACACAAACACAAAAUCAGUCAAACUCUCUCAAGGAAACUCUCUCUACUCUUCACCAAGUUUUCGAGAAUUAGGAAGCUUUUAAGUAGAUUUUUCCCACAAACACAUCAUCUAAGGUAAGUUGAUGUUAAAUCUAUGAUCUAGAUACUUCAUUAUAUUAAAAAUCUCUUCUAAAUCUAUUCAAACUUGUGAUCUUACAUCCAAGAAGCCACUAAACUCGAGAUCUACCAAGAGGACUUACUAGGAUCGAAAUUUUCUUCUUUUCUCUCUUCAAAACCGAAAUGACAACUCAAGGUGAGCUUCAUACCCCUCUAUUUUUGGUUUUCAUAUGUUUAUGGGGGAGAAUACAAGAAAAUGUGUAGAUCUACGUGUAUGUGUAUGCUAUGUGGGAUUUUAUGCAUGUAUGUGUGUGAUUUUAUGUGUUUUUGUGAUUAAUAUGUAACAAAAAGGGGUGUUAACUAGAGAUCUAUGACAUGAGAAAGGAAACAAACAUAAUCUAUGUUAUUUUACAUUAAAAAAGUCAAGAAAAAUAGCUUAUAAGGUUAUGAGGAACAUAUUCUAACAUAAAACCCAUUCUAGGGCUUAAAUUGUCAAAAAUACAAAACUUGGGUUAAAAACUGUCAAGUCACGGUUUCUUCAGGGUCAAAAGGGUCAAAACAGUUUCUAUAAUCAUUUUUCUGAAUAUUAGAAUUUUCAAAGGACUUGAAAUGCAAAAAUUUAGCUUAAUGGGCUAAAUGUGGGCAUUUCGGCCCAAGAAGCCCAUAAUUGCGAAAUAUGAAAUUUAAAGGGGCUGAAAUGAAACAUUUUGCAAAACAGGGGAUAAGAAGUGUAGUAAAACUAUUUCAAAGGUCAAAAAUUCUUUUCAAUUCCAAAAAGGAUCAAAAAUGUAAACUUUUUAGAUUUUGGGCCAAAACUGUAAAAGUUGUGAAAUAUGGGGUUCUAACCGAGAAACUCCAUUCUAGAAGGACUAAAGCUGUUAAAAAAAUAAAUUUUGCGUUAAAACUGUCUUUUCAACAAGUUUAGGAUACAAAAGUUUCAAGAAAAUGUUUUAAGGACUAAAAAUGAAAUUAUUUUAUAUAAAGGACUAAAACUGUUAUUUUUAUAAAAGAAAGAUGGUGAAAAGGUCAAAAUCCUACUUUUAAACAAAUUAAUUCAUUAAGACAAAAUACUAGAUCCACGGCUACAGACAAAACGGAAAACGAAUACACAUUCAACACCACAUAUCGUUAUAAACGAAUUGAUUCGGUCUCGAAUCAACACAAAACAACAAUCGUUAAAUCAAAACUCUCCAAUAGAUAUGUGAUGACUAAAAUGAAUAAAUCUUCAAACUUUGGGCUUGUGAGUUUCAAAUCAUGCUUGUUGGGCCUUGCAAGCCCACCAACAUGAUCUUUGGGCCCAAAUGGAUAACGCUUAUAUGUUAUUGGGCCUUCAAUGACCCAAUAUUUUAUAAAGGGACUUUCAAUAGCUUUUAUGUGCUAGCGGGUCCCGUUAGAAAAGCUAGUAAGGUCACAGUAAUCAAAUGCGAAUUGGACCAUCGUGUCUUUCGCAUCCACGACAGCCUAAGGUACUUACGAUAGUAGUGGGACAUAAUGCCCCCCUUCUCUUCGUUCGCUAAGGCGUAUGAGAAAUCAAAGUAGACAAAACUAGGACAAUAUACAAUGUGGAUUAAUCACUAUUCAUUCGUUAAGACAAUACAAAGAUCAAUAAUCACGAAUACAUUUCAACAUCGGAAAACAUCGGGUUUUCCAGGGAAUUCAAUACUACUCGCUUGAAAUUUUAUAACUAUAAUACAAAAUACCCUUCAUAUAUACAUGUUUUUGAAAUCAUUCAUGCAUCAACUUAUGGAUCUUCACACUUUGAUAAACAAAAGUCUUUUCAGAAAAUAUCGGAUUUUCUGGGUUUUACAAACUACAAAAAUCAUUUUAUCACAACAUUGCUUAUGAACUCACCAACAUUUCAUAUGUUGACGUUUUUCCAAAAUAACUUGUAUUCUCAGGUAACAGGUAAGCGGAAGAGUAAUAUGAAGUAAUGUUAGGAGUUAUGUUGUUAAAAGCACUUCAACAAUUUAUGUUAUGAAUGUGUAAUGCUAAAACAAUGUACUUGAUGUGAACUAUUCCAGUUGUAAUAUAUUGGUGCAUGGUGACGUUUAUGUUAUGAUUCAUGUAUAUUCAUUGUGAUGAUAUUCAAUUAAAGUCAUGCGAUCCCUUGGACAUUUACGCCGUCUGGUUCGGGGGUGUGACAAGUUGGUAUCAAAGCAUUGUUUAUAGUGAACUAGCAUAUCUAACCACACAUUGAUAUGCAACUAUAAACCGAAAAAGGGACUAACCCAACUCUGAAGAAAACAAAACAAAUAAAAACACAACUAUAAAACAUCUUUUCCUGUGUGAAUUAGGAAACAAAAUAUAAUACCAAACCAAACAAGAUAACGUUAUCAUCUCGGGUAAGCGGAGCCAUUCAUGGUUGUAUGAAGGAGAGGAUGUAGCCUGAUCAACUACAUUUCCUCCAAGGUACAACUAUCACAUGUCCCGAGGAAAUCGCGAUGGUAGGAAGACCUAAAAACAUACCCCUUUAUCACCAAAAAGAGAACAACAACUCAAUCUAUACGUCUUAGGAAUGAUAUUAGCAUGUUUAUACACCCUCGCAGACAGCAUGGCUGGUUUCCAUCACCCCGGAGAUCCUUAUUUCCCUAAUUAGGGGAAUAACGGAUGGUUGGAAGAAUCCGAAGAGGAACCCGAGGAAGACCCCGAGGAGGAAUCCGAGGAAGACCCCGAAGAGGAACCCGAGGAGGACCUCGAUGAGGAGUCUCAAGAGGAACCCGAGGAAGACCCCGAGGAGGAAUCCGAAGGGGAAACUGAGGCGGAAGCCGAAGGCGGACCUACCGAGCCAGUGGUGGACCAGGAGGAGGAGGAAGCCGAAGGAGGUCUCGAGGAGGAACCCAACGAAGACAAAGAUGGUUAUUCGGACGAAGAGUCCGAACUCAUCAACCUCCCUUAUCCGGUUAGGGUGCCCACUUAUCGGGUAGGCCCCACUGGUCCUACACCCCCUGGGGUAUCGACCUUUGGAGGUGGAGCAGGAAGAAGGGAUAGCGACCCCUAUUCGGCAUGUCACGCGAGUUUUAUGACCUGAGGGAUGGAGGACCGGCCGAUCGUGCUCUUCCGGUCAUGGUGAGACGACUGCGGAACACUGGCGACUUAGCUUAGAGCACCACCGACCAGAUGCACCAGAUGCGGACUAGGGUCGACCGUGCAGAGCAGGAAACGUGAGAGGUUAUCCGAGAGAUCCACAUGAGACAGGCGAGGUGGGAGGCCUGACUCCGAGAUGCGGAACGACAUGUGGUUCGCCUUCAGGGAGCGUCCACUUCCUCAGCACCACUCCCUGGCACAUCUCACCAUGGCUAGGACUAGUCAUACGCGUCUUUGAUAUUAUGUUACUAGGAUCUAUGCUAUGUACCCCGACUCUAUGUUUAAGUGAUUACACUACUCAUAGAGCCGUUAUGCUGCCGAAUUUGCACUACUUAUGUAUGCUCUUUUGAGCAGAAUUUUCAUGUAUCAAAAAUGCGGAUAAUAUUAAUGAAAAGUUUUAUGUGUUCUACUGUGAUGUUGUAAUCUGCUAUGUGUUAUAUAUCCAUGAUUGUAUGCUAGAUUGUGAAAUUGCUUAAUUUCGUACUACACACCUAGUUUAUAGGAUCACAAUCUCACAAAACCAUAGGCAGUCAACAUCUUUCCGUUCCAUGACAUAAAGAUGCCUAGACGACCAACUUGCGGUAACCCUGGACCAACCCCUCCAAAAGUUGACUCAGCUACAUUCCAAGCAGUUGUGUUUGCUGCGGUCACCGCAACAAUGGCACAGAUUCACCAAGGGAACAAUGGAGGAGUCAACGAACAAGGGGCAGGAAGUUCGAACAACGAGAUCAAUCAAGGACCAGCCAAAAGAUGCUCCUAGAAGGAUUUCACCAAUGCCAAUCUGCGAACGUUUAAUGGCACAAUUGGUGUAAUAGCCCUGAAAAGGUGGAUUGAGAAGGUGGAAUCGGUGUUCGAAAUAUGUGAAUGCCCCGAGGACGUGAAAGUGAAGUUUGCCAUGUGCACCUUUGUCGAUCAGUCUCUCACCUAGUGGAAUGGAAAUAUAGAGGCCAUGACUCUCCCUGUAUCCAACUCUAUGCCAUAGACGGAUCUGAAGGAGAUGCUGAUGGCUGAGUACUGCGCUCGAGGUGAAAUCCAGAAAACGGAGCUAGAGCUGUGGGAUCUCACCGUCUGAAACUCUGAUAUAGAUGCAUACAUACCAAAGUUUAGCGAGCUGUCAUUAUUGUGCCCCGACAUGAUUACGUCUGAAGAAAAGAAAAUCGAACGAUUCAUCUGGGGAUUGACCUACCUAAUUCAAGGAAAUGUGAUCACUGCAAGACCUGAAACGUUCGACAGUGCCAAGAGAUUGGCCAAGAAAUUGUACGACCACAAUAACAAAAAGAGCGAGAAGCCAGCGGAAAUCGAAGGCAAGAAAGAGAAUGACAACAAGAAAGGAAAGAAUAACAAGAGAAAAGGGUGACAAGGCUCGGAAUCAGCAAAGAAGCUGUUGGAUAAGGUGUCUAAGUCCAUAACUAUUUUUGGUAUGUACUUGACCCGACCCGGCAUGGUGCAUUUGGGUUGCAUGGCACCAUGCAAUUGGAUAGACUAAAUGAGAGAAAUAACACUUGUGGUU